GAUCAUGGCUCAGAUUGAACGCUGGCGGCAGGCUUAACACAUGCAAGUCGAGCGGGGAAAAGUAGCUUGCUACUGGACCUAGCGGCGGACGGGUGAGUAAUGCUUAGGAAUCUGCCUAUUAGUGGGGGACAACAUUCCGAAAGGAAUGCUAAUACCGCAUACGUCCUACGGGAGAAAGCAGGGGACCUUCGGGCCUUGCGCUAAUAGAUGAGCCUAAGUCGGAUUAGCUAGUUGGUGGGGUAAAGGCCU
rnacentral:rRNA from 1 species